AUACGUAGGGUGCGAGCGUUGUCCGGAUUUAUUGGGCGUAAAGGGCUCGUAGGUGGUUGAUCGCGUCGGAAGUGUAAUCUUGGGGCUUAACCCUGAGCGUGCUUUCGAUACGGGUUGACUUGAGGAAGGUAGGGGAGAAUGGAAUUCCUGGUGGAGCGGUGGAAUGCGCAGGUAUCAGGAGGAACACCAGUGGCGAAGGCGGUUCUCUGGGCCUUUCCUGACGCUGAGGAGCGAAAGCGUGGGGAGCGAACAGGCUUAGAUACCCUGGUAGUCCACGCUGUAAACGGUGGGUACUAGGUGUGGGGUCCAUUCCACGGGUUCCGUGCCGUAGCUAACGCUUUAAGUACCCCGCCUGGGGAGUACGGCCGCAAGGCUAAAACUCAAAGGAAUUGACGGGG
rnacentral:rRNA from 1 species